GUAACUGGGCACUUUCAACACAAGCAAACAAGACCACACAACUGUAUGAUGCCUAGCAAAAUGUAAAAUAUGUAACUGGGCACUUUCAACACAAGCAAACAAGACCACACAACUGUAUGAUGAUUAGCAAAAUGUAAAAUAUACACCUUUCACUUACUGGAAGUAUUUCACUUUGGCAUAAAUGUGAGUUACAUCUCUAGCAUCAAAAGAUUGGUAACACAGACCACUGAUAUCACUUCCAAGACUGUGUUUUCUUUGUCAUAUUAGUUUCUGUUUGUUGAAAAACACAGAUUUAGUUUUGUUGAUAUAUGCAAGGUAAUGAACAAUUUAAUGAGGCAGAGACCACAUAUUUUUAACCAGAAUUUCAUCAUCAUCCACUACUACAUUUAAAUCUUAUAGAUCGUCAACUAUUUGUUCAUUCGUUUGUCCACAGAAAGGUGACAGAGGAACAGGUCAUACUGGGAGCAGUAGGUCUGUGACUUGGAUGCAGCACAGUUACUGAUUUGAUGCCAUUAAGGCACAAAGCUUUGAAAUGAUUAAAAUGGUGAGUGAAUGUAAAUACUGGAAGUGUUAUUUCUUUAUACUAAAACCUGCUACUUUAAAUUAUGUUUCAGAAAUAUCUUGAGCACCUCGACUUGAAAAAUAACAGGAAUACCAUCUAGAAUAUUACAAGUGAGGACAGUCACUCAAUGAUAAUCCAUGAGCUUAGGCUGAAGGAAAAAAAUUCUAUAUAUGUAAUAAAAGUUGAUUGUAAUGUGUGAUGUUGUAGACAUACAAUAAUCUGUUUUGUGCUAUCUUUUACAUAAUGAAUUUGGUGACAACAUGUGGAUCAAAACUGAAAUGAGCAAAGAAUACCAACCAAAUUUAAGACCCAAAAACCAGAAAGAGCCACGACCAGCGGUGGAACACACGCAAGUUUGAAAAAUUUGUUCCAAAUGCACACUAAUAGUGAUUUUUUUUUCUUUUUUCUUUUUGUUGUUGUUGAUUGUAGAUGUACAUAUAUGUUCCUGUCUCCCGCUAAAAAUGAACCAUCCCAACUAGCAAAUUUUAGUUUGUUAUUUAGAACUUUUUUAAUUGCAUUAAUUAAGAGCCACCUGCACUUUGAGAGGACUAGAACUGUUGAGAUUUUAUUAUUCAUUCAAUAAAAAGAUUAAUAUGUGGGGUAUGUGAAAUGUGUGUACAUGUUUGUUUUGCUCAUACUUGUACAAAUGUUUCAUGUAACCUGGCGAGGCGAA